rnacentral:lncRNA from 10 species
GUUUUGUGGAAAGGAAAGGAGUGGCUCUACUGAACAUCUGUGAUACCCAGCUGCACAUUGGCAUUUGGCUUCCGGUCAGGCUUUACAACUGCUUGUUAAAAGCCCGUGACCUCUGGAUAAGAGUGAAAUACCAAGCACUAAGGGAGGCUAGAGCCAUUCUUCAAUCAGGAACAAAUGCAUUCUAAACAAGGUGAUUGGCAAAAAUCUUCAUUUUCUUUUCCUUCCAUUGACCUCCUAGAAAUGAAAAGCCCUCCUGAAAACAGGUGGUCCAGAAAAUCUAUAGAUAAUUAAGCAAAAUGAGGCUUGUUGACAGCUUGGCAUGAAAUGUGAAUAUUUAAUUACAUUUUAAUGACAGCACAUUAUUUUACAUAACUAUGAUAGGUGAUAUAACAUGAGAUUUGAGACUGCCAAUACAAAUUUUAAAUAGUUUUUCUCAACAUUUAUA